AACGAACGCUGGCGGCAUGCCUAACACAUGCAAGUCGAACGAGACCUUCGGGUCUAGUGGCGCACGGGUGCGUAACGCGUGGGAACCUGCCCUUAGGUUCGGAAUAACUCCCCGAAAGGGGUGCUAAUACCGGAUAAUGUCUUCGGACCAAAGAUUUAUCGCCUUUGGAUGGGCCCGCGUUGGAUUAGCUAGUUGGUAGGGUAAAAGCCUACCAAGGCGACGAUCCAUAGCUGGUCUGAGAGGAUGAUCAGCCACACUGGGACUGAGACACGGCCCAGACUCCUACGGGAGGUAGCAGUGGGGAAUAUUGGACAAUGGGCGGAAGCCUGAUCCAGCAAUGCCGCGUGAGUGAUGAAGGCCUUAGGGUUGUAAAGCUCUUUUACCCGGGAUGAUAAUGACAGUACCGGGAGAAUAAGCUCCGGCUAACUCCGUG
rnacentral:rRNA from 1 species